GGCUGAGAAAGGUCCCUGGGGUUUUCUCUUUGCUGCCUCCCUCUUCAGAGACUCUGGGCAGGGGCCAGGCAGCAAGCUCAGAAGGUGCCCUAGGCCAGUUUCCUUCCUAAGCUCCGGCCAAGGGACCCCAUGUGUUCUCCAGCAGCGCGCCCCUGCGUACCUCCGCACGCACCCUAGCCUGCCCCCGCACACGUGGAGGAAACAAGCCAGCCUUCAGCGUGGGGAGAGCCCCAGCCGUGGCCUGCCAUGGGCAGCCGCCCUUCGCCUACCUGCCCUGUGACCCUGGCUCCUGCCUCCCUCUGACCUCUGCACAUUCCUCAGCAAGAUCCUCUCGCCCCAGCAUGGCCGCAAGUGGCCUUGAUGAAGCAGGAGCCAGCUGCUGAGGGUCUCCUUUGGUCAAAACAUGAAAUGUUGACAAUAGAAUUGAAGUGCCAUCCCUAUAGCCCAUCUCCUUCCUCCCUCCUUCUUCAGAGGCCACUAACUUGAGAAUGAUACAUUUUCCCAUGUGUUUUCAUACUUUUACGAUAUAUUUGGGUCUAUAAGCAACGUACAGUGUAGUUUUGCAUGUUUAUAAAAUGAUGUGUGAAAUGUGAGUUGCAGAGUGGUGCGGGGCUCUCCUCCUUGGUAUUCUGGGGCCUGGUCAAGCAUUUCCCGAUCCAGGUCCUACCCUGGAGGAAGCAGGUCCCGAGUCCCUCAUCAUCUUGAAACAGAUAGAACAGCAACUCUUUCUUCUGAUGUAUACAUUGGGCUUCUGCAUAAGAUCUCCUUUGAAAAACAGGUUCCAUUGCUUGAAAGUCACAAGUCUGAUGAAAACCCCUCACCUGACAGAGGAUUAAACUAGGGCCCAGAGAGGGGAGGUGACAGCUUCCCCACGGGCCUCCUUUGUUCAACAAAAGAAAAAUAGAUGGGCACCCAGACCCAAAGGCUGAUUUGCUCCUGGGUCAGGGAAACGCAAAAGGGUCUGGACCUGGGACCUCUGAGGAGGCCAAACGAUGGACCCUUUGGAGAGUGGCAGGGCACAAGGAAAGUCCUAGACCUGGGCCUCCCAGUGUGGCAGCCACGAGCGCCCUGUUGAGCCCUGGUAUGGAGCAAGUCCAAGCUGAGAGGUGCUGCAAGAGUGAACUACACACCUGAUUUUGCUUUUUAUGGA